ensembl:lncRNA
CUUAAGGGAAGGAAUAUUCGUGUGGCACAUUUUAACAACAAGGCAAUUUAAUGUGCUUUACGUAAAACAAUUGAAAACAUCAGGGAAAAGAAAAUCAAAACACCCUUGUCGUGGAUCAAGUCCAUACGUUAAAAGUUACGUGUGGGAGAUAAGGGACGUUGGGUUUCUCCAGUGUGACGGACGCACGGGGGAAUCUCCUGCCAAAGACAAACAAGGCGCUGUCGCGCGGCCAAGUUUGACGCCGUACGACCACCGCCUUAAUACCCUUCUAGAGCCGACUGUCUGUCCCGAGGGUGCGAUGCUGCUGCGCUCUGCGGCGUGCGCCACAUGCGCAAACGCCCCCCCGCCCCCCCGUUUUCCCUUUUUUUGGCGCAGCGCUGCGCUCCGGACGCUCCAGUGCGUCGUGGGAAGGAGACACAUU